rnacentral:lncRNA from 1 species
GGAAGCCCUGCUGUACCUGCUCUUUCAUCUCCUGGAUGGAAAAUGUCUAUCGGCUGGAAAUGCUUGCACAGUAGAAGAUAAACCGACAGAUGGAUGCCUGAGGCACUUGCUCUGGGGAAACAUGACGUGGACGUAACUUUUGCCUUGCCUCCCUCUCCACACCUUCAAUUCCCUAGGAUGGAUUACAUGACUCGGCUUACCCAACAGAAAGGUGCCUUUCUGGUGCUGCAGAUAUAACCAGACUGAGUCCCAGACUGAUAAAUUCUGCUUGACCUCUCC